rnacentral:tRNA from 1 species
CCAUCGGUGGUUCAGUGGUAGAAUGCUCGCCUGCCACCCGGGCGGCCCGGGUUCGAUUCCUGGCCGAUGCA